rnacentral:rRNA from 1 species
AGCGAACGCUGGCGGCAGGCCUAACACAUGCAAGUCGAACGGAUCCUUCGGGAUUAGUGGCGGACGGGUGAGUAACACGUGGGAACGUGCCCUUUGGUUCGGAACAACUCAGGGAAACUUGAGCUAAUACCGGAUGUGCCCUUCGGGGGAAAGAUUUAUCGCCAUUGGAGCGGCCCGCGUCUGAUUAGCUAGUUGGUGAGGUAAAGGCUCACCAAGGCGACGAUCAGUAGCUGGUCUGAGAGGAUGAUCAGCCACAUUGGGACUGAGACACGGCCCAAACUCCUACGGGAGGCAGCAGUGGGGAAUCUUGCGCAAUGGGCGAAAGCCUGACGCAGCCAUGCCGCGUGAAUGAUGAAGGUCUUAGGAUUGUAAAACUCUCUCACCGGGGACGAUAAUGACGGUACCCGGAGAAGAAGCCCCGGCUAACUUCGUGCCAGCCGCCGCGGUAACAC